GGUUAAGCGACUAAGCGUACACGGUGGAUGCCCUGGCAGUCAGAGGCGAUGAAGGGCGUGCUAAUCUGCGAUAAGCGCCGGUAAGGUGAUAUGAACCGUUAUAACCGGCGAUACCCGAAUGGGGAAACCCAGUGUGAUUCGUCACACUAUCAUUAACUGAAUCCAUAGGUUAAUGAGGCGAACCGGGGGAACUGAAACAUCUAAGUACCCCGAGGAAAAGAAAUCAACCGAGAUUCCCCCAGUAGCGGCGAGCGAACGGGGAGGAGCCCAGAGCCUGAAUCAGCAUGUGUGUUAGUGGAAGUGUCUGGAAAGGCGCGCGAUACAGGGUGACAGCCCCGUACACAAAAGCGCAUGUGCUGUGAGCUCGAUGAGUAGGGCGGGACACGUGGUAUCCUGUCUGAAUAUGGGGGGACCAUCCUCCAAGGCUAAAUACUCCUGACUGACCGAUAGUGAACCAGUACCGUGAGGGAAAGGCGAAAAGAACCCCGGCGAGGGGAGUGAAAAAGAACCUGAAACCGUGUACGUACAAGCAGUGGGAGCCCCACCACCAAAGCAUUCUCUGGUGUUGAAGGCCCUGCAAAGCAGCAUCGCGGUGGCGGAGCGUCGUUUGCGACGCCCAACACACAAAACAAGCGGUGAGUGCUUUGGGGUGGGGUGACUGCGUACCUUUUGUAUAAUGGGUCAGCGACUUAUAUUCUGUAGCAAGGUUAACCG
rnacentral:rRNA from 1 species